rnacentral:lncRNA from 1 species
AAUAAAAUGGAAAAAACACGGUUUGGCCAGGUUGGAUAAAUGAUAAUAUAUUUCCCUCGGGAAAGUAGAGGUUGGGGGGCUAGCACUAUAAAAGGGACUCAUAGAGAGCACUAAAGCACUCAAGAAAAACAAACUAAAGAAAGAGAGAGAAGAUCAGUGCUACCCUCUUUGAAGCAAAGAGAGUGGUGGUAAAAUUGGUGGCGCCACCUUCAUGGUGCCCAAAAUGGAGAGGCAUUUUUGGCCUCAGCUAGCCUUUGCGGCCAUUGUAUGCUUCCUGGCAACAAAUGUAGUGGCUAAAAAGCCGGAGCCAUAUUAUUAUUAUUAUUAUUCUCCACCCCCACCUUACCUAUACACAUCACCACCACCACCAUCGCCGUCACCACCUCCUCCUUAUGUCUACAACUCUCCACCACCUCCAUAUGUCUACAACUCUCCACCUCCCCCUUCUCCAUCGCCGCCACCUCCUUAUGCGUACAAGUCUCCACCACCACCUUCACCG